GCAAAACCGACCCGGAACCCAGAGGAAGGAGGAAUUCAUUCUAACCUUACAUCUGGGUGUUACUCAGAGGAACUGAGCCGUGAGGGAUGGGGCAGGACUUCGGAGGGCAGAGAUGGAAAAAAGACGUCCCAGGGGAAGAGGUUUAAGUUCUGGAGAGGGCGACAGGAGAGGGGCACGUGUUCCUGGGACAGCGAGGCCGCAAGACAGCAGCAUGAUGGACCUGGUUUUUAGCCCUUGGCUCUUGGGUCUUAGUAAAACCAAAAUCUUGUAUUUUUAUCACUGUCUUCAUACUGUGCUUUACAACUCUCAGAACUAGCACGGGCAUAAAUUUGCUUAGAAGUCGGGGUUUGGGGUUCAGAAUUCGAAGGGACAUUUUUAUCAGUAAGAGCAUUUUCAAACAAUCUUGGAAUUCCACAGACUUUUCCGGAACCUCCUCCCAUCCCUCGGAGGGGCCACCUGGCAGGAUAAUCGGUAGCUGACUGGAAUUCAUCCCUCUUCUUGGAAUGCUGUGGAUGUGAGAUCUGUGUAGAAUGGCGGAAUGAUUUGGCCUUUUACAACGGGCCUCGAAAGGCCCAGCACGGCAUAAACCGAGACUGCCUGUGGCCAACUGGAAUGUCACCCUAAUAAGGAUGGAGGAGGGAAGAAAUGUGACUCAUUCAUGAGGCCUAUCAAUCUCCACCCAGCUACAAAGAACAGAAGACACUUCCUCAAACUGGAUUGCACAAUGAGGACACUGACAAGUUCACAUGACUGGACGUCUAGCAGAAGGAGGAGGGCCCCAGGUGUGUCUAUCACGUGGGUCACACGAGCCAGACCACGGACGUAGCACUGGGAAGAGUGUUCAGCUUUCAUCAGACAUUAUUUGAUGCAGACUUCUCAAACAUUUAAGGGCUUGGUCAAGAUGAAUGAAGUGGUCUUGAAGGUGACUUGGAUCCCAGCAUUGCAAAUCUGAGGAUGGGGGUAUGUUCUUCGUUUGCCUGCUCAGCAGAAUGUCUGAGGAUGCACAGGCACCUACAUCCGUCAGGUGUUGACGCACAGCCUUCUCAAGCUGGACACCGCCUGGGCAUUCCGCGUACCUUGUGUGCUGAUGACUGACGAACUUUUCACUAUGACACCUGGACGUACAAACCUUGAAAAUGAUGAACUGAAAGAAGGAACAAAAAGCAGAAAAACUGCGAGUUAAGCAGAGAGAAGUUAAUACAAUGGAAACACCACCAUGAGCGUUAGAGUCAAACAGUGUUAGGUGCAGAUUCUCUGCCCUGCAGGUUACUCAACGCCGUGUGUACCUUGGCGCCCCCAUCUGUAAAACGGGCUCUUAUGAGGAUCAGCGAUGACACAUGUAGAGUGCGUAGUGCCAGCCCUGAUGCACUGGUGUGCAACAAGGAGCUGUUAUUAUCUGUAACUAAAUCAGAGCACCAUAUUUAGUUACAUGGAGAGACGUGCUGUCGCUGGGGUCCACAGUUCUGACUUCUCUGUAAGGAUUAAACAACCAGUCCUUUUGGCCUUGGUUUCGCUGGGUGUGGAAUAAGCUCAGGUUGCCAGCAUCACAGGGGUUCCUGGAGGUCUCCCCGGAGCUGCCAAGAGGCUGGUCCCCAGAGAAGCCCUUUGCGAGCCUGAGCUUGUCCCGAGAGUCAAGCUCUUCUCUAGGUACACGUUGAACAAAGCCCGCCCCCACACAGAGGCCGCCCCUUGGCUGCCAAGGACAGCAACGUCUUUGUUCUCAGGCUCUUUCAGAGCCCAGGGCCUACGAAGUGGACAAUAGGCCUGCCUUGUCCUUCCUUUGGCCUCACUUUCCUUAGAGGCCACAGUGGUUGGGGGGGUCAGGCAAGGAUGCAUGCCCUCGGGGUCCUAGGGGCCCACCCUGUGGGUUUCAGGCAGCUUCUUUUGUACUUCAGGCUGAAACGGUUGGUGCCAAGGAGAGGAGAGCGAGCAGGAGCGUGCCCUUCCCUCGAACAGGACUUCGCGUUCUGACCAACGGUAGAGGGUUGAACGGGCCUGCCAGGAGAUGCAUGCGAGUCCUAACCCCGGGUAGCUGUGCACGCACCCUUAUUUGGAAAUAAGGCCUUUGCAGAUGUAAUUAAGUUGAGGAUCAUGAGAGGAGAUCAUUGCAGAUUUAGGGCCCUAAAUCCAAUGACUGGUGUCCUUAGAGAGAAAAGAGACAGAGUUCUGACACUCAGAGACUAGGGUGAAGACGCAGCCAGCCCUAGGACAAAGGACGCCUGGGGGCCCCAGAAGCUGGAGGAGGUAGGAACGAUCUUCCCCUAGAGCCCGGGAGGGAGCAUGGCUCUGCCCACAUGAAGGUUUUCCUCCAGAACUGUGAGAGAAGAAAUUUCUGUUGUUUUAAACCACCCAAUUUGUGACAAUUUGUUACAGCAGCCCCAGGAAACUCACACGCCAGCCGUGGGUGCUUCCUGAGCCUCUGUGGUAAAGCCUCUUCUCUGCAUUUUGCAAAGUUCAAAGGUGCGUCUCGUCCCAGGGGUACGGCGGAAGGGCGGCAGUCCUUGAUUCAGGGUCAGUGUGGGUGCACGUUUCUGGGGAGCACUAGAAGCCCCUCUAAUGUCCCGGAGGCAGCAGUGGGUCGUGCCUUGGCAAGAGCACAGCACCUGACAGAGGCCACCAGGGGAGGCAGGGCUGGCAGGCACGGGCCCUUGAGGGUUUGUUGUUCAUUCCCACUUCAGCCUUUUAGAGUUGAGUGAGCUUUCUGAACUUGGAGGGUGCCAGAGACCAUUGUGCCCACUAAGCGAGAUGACCAUCUCCGCGUGUGUUCCCUGACCCCUUUAAGUCUGUGAUCCCUUCACGCUACUCAUUACAGAAGAUGAUUUACCAAGAAAGACCCCCAUGGUUUUUCAGUGGGCCUGUGCUUGUAGCCAU
rnacentral:lncRNA from 1 species